CGCACCGUCGCCGAACCGGCCGGGGCGGCCUCCCUAGACUGGAGGCACUGGUGCGGGAUCGUCCCGCCGUUACGA
rnacentral:tRNA from 1 species